rnacentral:rRNA from 1 species
ACAUCGCUCUUUGAAAUUUAAUUAUAAAGAGUCGAGCCUGCCCAGUGAUAAAAUUUUUAACGGCCGCGGUACUCUGACCGUGCAAAGGUAGCAUAAUCAUUUGCCCUAUAAUUGAGGGCUAGUAUGAAUGGUUUGACAAGAGCAAUGCUGUCUCCUUUAGAUUCUAUAGAAUUUGAUUUUUAGGUGAAGAGGCCUGAAUUAAAUUGAAAGACAAGAAGACCCUAUCGAGCUUUAAGUUAUUUUGUUAAGUUAAUGAAUUAAAGAUCAGUUUUAACAAAAAAUUUUGGUUGGGGCGACUGAGGAACAAAAAAAGCUUCCUUUAUUUUAAAGACUUAUUAGUUUUGAUCCAAAAUAUUUGAUUAAAAGAAUUAGUUACCGUAGGGAUAACAGCAUAAUCUUUUUUGAGAGCUCUUAUCGAAAAAAAGGUUUGUGACCUCGAUGUUGGACUAGGAUAUCCUAAUAGAUGCAGACGUCUUUGAUGGUUGGUCUGUUCGACCAUUAAAAUCCUAC